AUUGAACGCUGGCGGAAUGCUUUACACAUGCAAGUCGAACGGCAGCACGGACUUCGGUCUGGUGGCGAGUGGCGAACGGGUGAGUAAUGUAUCGGAACGUGCCCAGUCGUGGGGGAUAACGUAGUGAAAAUUACGCUAAUACCGCAUACGAUCUAUGGAUGAAAGCGGGGGAUCGCAAGACCUCGCGCGAUUGGAGCGGCCGAUAUCAGAUUAGGUAGUUGGGGGGGUAAAGGCCCACCAAGCCAACGAUCUGUAGCUGGUCUGAGAGGACGACCAGCCACACUGGAACUGAGACACGGUCCGGACUCCUACGGGAGGCAGCAGUGGGGAAUUUUGGACAAUGGGCGAAAGCCUGAUCCAGCCAUUCCGCGUGCAGGAUGAAGGCCCUCGGGUUGUAAACUGCUUUUGUACAGAACGAAAAGGUUUCUACUAAUAUUAGGAGCUCAUGACGGUACUGUAAGAAUAAGCACCGGCUAACUACGUGCCAGCCGCCGCGGUAA
rnacentral:rRNA from 1 species